ensembl:processed_transcript
AGGCGGGCGUUGACUGGUCAGUGUGCCGCUCCUUUGAACGCGCCUGAGCGCCCGGCUCGCCCUACGCCUGCGCAGUGGGACGGGCGCGUUUGGCGCGGCUUGUGUGUGAGGCGCGGACAACCUCAGACAUCCUUAGCUUCCCAUCAUGGCUCAGUGUCCCAGGGAAGGCAGAGUCCUGGAAAAUACAAUUCCCGUGGAUGAUCUCUGUUGAUAUCAGCCACCUGCUAUGCCAGGCAAGACACCUGUUGAUGUACCAAAAAGCUACCUCCUGGGGACUUAAAGAGCUUUUAUGUUUAUAUUUUGAGACAGCAUCUGUAAUGGCUAUUCCUGGUUGUCAAUUUGACUAUAUCUGGAAUGAACUAUAAUCCGGAAUUGGAAGACUCACCCGUGAUCCUGAUCUUGAGGAUGGGAGAUACAAGUUUCUGACCUGGAUCUUGGCAUGGAGAUCUUGAGCCAUAGUGGCUAUGAAUCCCAGGAGUCAUAAGGCAAGAAGAUCUCUGAGUUCAAGGUCAUUUGGGACAAAGCAAGUCCCACCAGAUCCAGGCAUGGUGACACACCUUUAAUCUGGGGCACACUUUCUGCUGGAGACCUACAUAAGGACAUUGGAAGAAGGAAAAUUUGCUCUUCUUUGCCUGCUUGCCUUGCGGGCCUGAGCAACUGCUAGAUCUUUGGACUUCCAUUCACAGCUGACCAUUGUUGGGGAGUUGGACUACAGACUGGUUUCUCUAUGUAGCUAGCCCUGGCUGACCUGGAAUUCACUCUGUGGAGCAGGCUGGCCUUGAACUCAGAGAUCUGCCUGCCUCUGAAUACUAGAAUUAAGGCGUGUACCAUCACUACUUGACAUUACAUUUUUAUUUAUUAUUGUGUGUAUGCUUGGUAUUUAUGCAUGGUGUGUGUGUGUGUGUGUGUGUGUGUGUGUGUGUGGAGAUAUGUGCAUUAUGUGCAUUAGUAACAAUGAGGAAGUCAUAGGACACCUUUUUGUGGUCACUUCUCUCCUUCCACUUUUACAUGGUUCCAGGACUUGAACUCAGGUCCCCAGGCUUGGCAGCAAACACCUUUACCCACUAAGCCAUCUCACGAGUCCCAUUUUUUUACUUUUACAGAGUUUCACUAUGCAGCCUCAACUGACCAGGAACUCACCAUGUAGAUUAGGCUGGCCUCAAAGAUCCACCUACCUGGGGCCUCCUAAAUUCUGGGAUUAAAGGUCUGUAUCACCGUGUCUGGUCAUGUGACUAUAGUUUUGAUAUUCCCAUUCUGAUAUUGAUCACUAAAGGUGGCUAUUGCCUCAAUUUCUCCUUUGUGGUGCUUUUUUGCUUUGUAGCAUGUACUUCUCUGUGGGGCAAAUGAGACUAUGUUACUAGAUGUGUUCCUUGUCAAAAUUUAACAUUUUUCAUUAAAAAAGGAGGAGGAAGGAGAGAACAUUGCAUUGGGUCAUUUGGCAACUUGUCCCUCUUACUGCCGGCUGGUGCAGUAGCUGCAGGGGGCCAGCAGGUGUCAGCACCGAGGCACAUCUGGGUCUGGAACACCGGCUCUGGUGCUGCCCUGAGAUGUCGUGCGCUGCUGAAGAGGAGCCAAGUAUCUUUGUUUUAUGAUUCCAGAUGGCAGAUCUCAUCCUGCCUCAAGAUCUGCGGUCCUUGUCACUGCCGAGACAUCUCUCCUUUGUGUCCUGGGUUCCAUCUUCCCUGACCACACUGUCUCCAGUACCUCUGCUGUGGAGAAGCCAGAAGCAGAAAGGAACUCCCACCAGAAAGGAACUCCUACCUACUGAGGAGGAGCAGUCCACACAAGAAAGGAGGACUCCACUCGGAAAGGAAGGAGACCCUCAUCUAUGAGGAAGACAAGAUCUAACUUAGCAGAGAGGGGACUGAUUGAGACCUGGUGCGGAUGGCCCUGAUGGCUGAUAGAGAGACAGACCGGGGCUUGGGAGACAGAUGGAGACCUGGCACGUGUGCAGCUGGCUGGACUCUAGGCUAUUCUCUGUGGAAAACGGGCAGACGUGGAGGGCCAAGUGGUCAAGAACUGAGGGUUGGGUGCCCAAACGGGUGCCCCCCUCAUUUCCUGGGUAUGAUUGGGAGCUAUUUCCACUUCUCAGAGAAAGAGAGAAAUACAGACGCUCCAAGGCCUCAGAGAAGGCUCGUUGUGUAACGGUACUUGCCCACCUGCGUGACAACCUGAGUUUUAUUCUUGGAAUCCACGUGGGAGGGGACUGACCACCACAGGCACAUUAUGUUAGACAUGUGCUCACUAAAACUCAAAUACAUGUUAGAGAAUGAGGAGCGUCCCCUGCCUCCAGGUUUCUGCUUCAGUUUCAUACCUUGGCUUUCUACCAUGAUGGACCGUAAGCUGUAAGCUACAUAGACCCUUUUCUUUGAAGUUGCUUUUGGCCAGCGUUUUAUCACAAUAACACAAACUAACUGUGACAGUUUCUCAGCUGUUUACUGUGAGAAAUGUCCCUCAUAGUCUCAGACUUUGAACACUUGGUCCCUAAUUGAUGACAGUUUGGGGAGGUUUGGGAUGUAGGGCCUUGCUGGAGGAUGUAUGCAGGGCUAGGGUAGGCUUUCAGGGAAAAAAGUCUUGCCUUCUUGUUUGCUCUCUCUGCUCUGGGCUUAGGUUAAGGGGGUCAGGUUUCCGUUUUCUUCUUCUGGUGCCUUGGCAGACCCUUGCUGCCAUGCCUUCCGAACUCAGAGGACUCAUUCCUGGAACCACAGGCCCAAAUAAACUCUCCUAUUAGUUUCCUUGGUCAUGGUGUUUUCUCACAGCAACAGGGAAGUAACUGUUGGAACACAGGCCAAGUCUGCGUAUGAAGAUUUCUGUGUUAGGAGACUUCUUAGUGAUUGGAAGAAAAGAAGCCAAAAGUCUUGUGACCCCAGUUUCUUCAGAACAUGGAGUUGUUCUUGGAAUGUGGUCUCAUGCUCUUCCCAAGUGUAGGUAGGGUGAAUUUACUUCAGACUGUCCAUUACAACUGGCUAUUGUCAUUUGUUUAUAUGCCUUUAUGAAAAAACACCUUUUUGAUGUGGCUUGCCCACCACGCCCGGC